AAAUUGAAGAGUUUGAUCAUGGCUCAGAUUGAACGCUGGCGGCAGGCCUAACACAUGCAAGUCGAGCGGAAACGGCAGCAUUGAAGCUUCGGUGGAUUUGCUGGACGUCGAGCGGCGGACGGGUGAGUAACGGCUGGGAACCUGCCCUGACGAGGGGGAUAACCGUU
rnacentral:rRNA from 1 species